rnacentral:misc_RNA from 1 species
GAGAGAGAGCUCUAAUUCCCAAUGACAAGUAUUACUCUCAAGUGGCACAUCUGAAUUCAACAUUCUUGAUUAAUAUUGCAAAUAAUAUCUCGCUAUUCAAUUCCAAGCAAACACGAAGAGGUCAACGAAAAUGUCUUUUAGAGAGGAACACCAAGAAUUGCACAAAGAAAGAAGUUUUCCCACCCUUUUCUAAUAUAAAAAGCCCUCCAUAAACUUCCCUCACUACUUCACAGUCAAACCAUUGUGAUCCAUUCGAAAAGUGAGAAUUAUAUUAUGACUAACACAUGCUAAACUAGUUGAUUGAAAAAACGUUAUUGAUAUUGUCUACUCAAAAUGUUUUCACAAUAUCCACAUGAAAAAUAUUGGAAAAUAAGUUGUAAUUAUUUUCUAGCUAGCCCUCUCAG